CACCUUUAUGCAAAAAGCGGGGGUCUAUUUAAACUGCCAGGACCCCUCUCUCCGGUUAGCUAACUCUGACUGUUGCUGCUCGUUUAGCUUUACAGAAACAAGUCGGCUGCUGCUGCUUUUUUUGGUUUGUUUGUUUGUUUUUCGGAGGAAGUGAUGCCGAAGGGUUGCGCCGCGCUCAGAGGCCUUCCGCCGCCGGCCUCGUCGGCCGUGGUCUCUUUCUUGAGAACCGGACCGCACCGCUCCUAAAACUUUUCUCUGUCCGCCUGGGCUUGCAGGGGAUCCUUCACCUCACCCCAACGAAGCUAUACCUUGGCUUUCAGCUCAGCCCUAAGCAUGUGAUUCCCUGACUUAAAUAGGGUACCUCUGUGGAGAUUUAUAGCCAUCCAACUACUAAGCCUCAGGUAUAUCUCAUCAAAAACCACAUCUAUAUCCGCAGGUGAAGGCCACAAGAUAUCACUGAAAGCCCCAGAUGAAAUCUAGUAAGCGGAAAUAAGGUGAAGAAUAUUUCUAAUAUUUCUGAUCAGUGUUAUGAUUGCAAUUUA